CGACGUCAAACGGAUAAAAAUUUUCAAGGGAAAGAUUAUUUCGUUACGUGUACGCUUCAAAUUCGGAUAAUAUUGAAUUAAAAUGAAGUUUUUGAGGUAGGUGCUAUUUCAUUUUAGAUUCUGUUGCAUUUAUUGAACAUUUCAGUUAUGGUUUUUAGAAAGUCAAGAUGGCGGCGUACUCCUUAGUUACGACAUGCCAUUGUGCUUUUGAUGGGAAAUAUAGCAGCCAUCAAACAAAUAAUGUAAAUAAAUAAUCGCGUAUGUUUGGCUGAAGAAUUAUAAGGAUUAAACACAUUUUUUCUAGAGGUUAUUGGUGUGUAAACCGGGUUUCUCUAAUUUUUUGUGCUAUUUUCACAUUUCCUGACCGGUGUGAGAAAAAUAUUUCUCCUCACUAGUGAAAAAUCUGUUCUCGGCA
rnacentral:lncRNA from 1 species